CUUCCCUUGAUCUAGAUGCUAUACUCCUAUUGAUGAGGCCCAGAAUUGCAUUGGCUUUUUUAGCUACCGCGUCACACUGUUGGCUCAUGUCAAGUUUGUGGUCAACCAAGACUCCUAGAUGCUUUUCACAUGUACUGCUCUCAAGCCAGGUGUCCCCCAUCUUGUAUUUGUGCCUCUCAUUUUUUUUUUGCCCAAGUGCAAUACUUUACAUUUCUCCCUGUUAAAAUUCAUCUUGUUUGUUUUGGCCCAGUUCUCUAAUCUGUCAAGGUCGUUUUGAAGUGUGAUCCUGUCCUCUGGGGUGUAAGCCACCCCUCCCAGUUUGGUGUCAUCUGCAAAUUUGAUCAGGAU